AACAAUUGAACAUGACACACACAUGGCGUUUUAUUACAUUCUAUUAUUGAUACAGUACAACAUUUUUGUCUGCAAACUACUGAUACUAUUUAUUUCCAUUUUCAGUUGAAAUAUAACAACAGCAUAAAAAAUGAGUAUAAAAAAGUCUUUCCAGUUUUGUAUAGUCUGCUUAGCGGUCCAAAUUGCCAUCACAAAAAUUUGAACGAGUGAUCACCACACACAAGAAUCCGGCGUCGCUGCAAGCGUCGUCCAACAAACCCUUGUCGUCGGCCAUGGAAGGAUCAUCAAUCUUCUCGACGAGCAGGCUGAUAUCUGAUCAUGCAAAGAGGAAAAGAGAACUCAAUUUUCAGAUAAACAAACAGUGUAUCAACCAUAUCACUUGCUUAGAGCGAGAAAUCGCCUUAGCACGACUGGUACGGAAAAGAGAAAUUUCCAAAGAUCCAGCUGCAUGUCCUCAAGGAGAACUACUUGUUCCAUCACACUCCAACAUCCAGUUUGCUGAGUUCAGAGAGGGUGGGGAAUCUCUGAACAAUAACUCGUGAAUUCAGAGAAGACUGCAGCAACAUAUAUUCUGAAUAACUCAUGAACGCACCGCUGAAUUUCUCUUUCAGAAAGGAUCGGGAAUUGAGCCCGGACUCCGCCUAUGACUGUUAGCGGUACAUACGUAGCUCCGCCCGUGUGCACAGGGCUGGUUGUGGCGUGGCGUUCGCCAGCAAGACGCGCGCGAGCAACUCGUUUUGCCAGGCGCGAAUCAGGCCGGUAAUACAGGCCUUGCCAAAAAG
rnacentral:lncRNA from 1 species